rnacentral:rRNA from 1 species
AACACAUGCAAGUCGAGGGGCAGCGGGAUUGAAGCUUGCUUCAAUUGCCGGCGACCGGCGCACGGGUGAGUAACACGUAUGCAACCUGGCCGUGACAGAUGGAUAACCGGGAGAAAUUCCGCCUAAUACAGCAUAAUACUAACAGAGGACAUCCUCUGGGAGUCAAAGGGGCAACCCGGUCACGGAUGGGCAUGCGGCGCAUUAGGUAGUUGGUAGGGUAACGGCCUACCAAGCCGACGAUGCGUAGGGGUUCUGAGAGGAAGGUCCCCCACAUUGGAACUGAGACACGGUCCAAACUCCUACGGGAGGCAGCAGUGAGGAAUAUUGGUCAAUGGCCGGAAGGCUGAACCAGCCAAGUCGCGUGAGGGAAUAAGGCCCUAUGGGUCGUAAACCUCUUUUGUCCGGGAGCAAAGCUUGCUACGUGUAGCGAGAAGGAGAGUACCGGAAGAAAAAGCAUCGGCUAACUCCGUGCCAGCAGCCGCGGUAAUACGGAGGAUGCGAGCGUUAUCCGGAUUUAUUGGGUUUAAAGGGUGCGUAGGCGGACAGAUAAGUCAGCGGUAAAAUUGCGGAGCUCAACUCCGUAGAGCCGUUGAAACUGUCUGACUAGAGUGAGCGAGAAGUAUGCGGAAUGCGUGGUGUAGCGGUGAAAUGCAUAGAU